GGUAGUGUGGCCGAGAACCAGCGGCGAGCGUAGCUCGCAUAGGGACAACAGGAGCGUCCCACUGCCA
rnacentral:tRNA from 1 species